AAAGAGUUCACUUUUAGAUUUAUGUGUCCAACUUUAACCGUCUGCUUUAUUUAAUUUUUUUAUAAUUAAUAUUUUUAUUGUUAUUAGAUGGUAACAAGAAUAGUACUUUAUGCACGACUUUUUUAAUUUAUUUAUAUAUUUUUUGAAUAAGACGAACGGUUAAAUUUGGAGACGGAAAA
rnacentral:pre_miRNA from 1 species